AACCUUUACAAUGCACGAAAGUGUGAUAAGGGAAUCCUAAGUGCUUUGCUUUCAGCAAGGCUUUUGCCAAGAGUAAAUAUCUUGGCGAAUACGUGGUGGGUAAGACUUGUGCCAGCCGCCGCGGUAACACCAGCGCCACAAGUGGCAACCACGAUUAUUGGGCCUAAAGCGCCCGUAGCCUGUCCAGCAAAUUUUUUGUGAAAUCGUUAGGCUUAACUUAACGGCAUGCAGAAAAGACUACUAGACUUGGGACCGGGAGGCGUCAGAGGUAUUCAUAAGGGAGCGGUAAAAUGCUAUAAUCUUAUGAGGACCCCCUGUGGCAAAGGCGUCUGACGAGAACGGAUCCGACGGUGAGGGACGAAAGCUAGGGGAGCGAACCGG
rnacentral:rRNA from 1 species